UGAAGUUGACGGGGAGCACCACAACAGGUGGAGCCUGCGGUUUAAUCGGACUCAAACGCCGGGAAACUCACCAGAUAAGACAGCUGAAUGAUAGUCGGGCUGAAGACUCUACUUGACUAGCUGAGAGGAGGUGCAUGGCCGUCGUCAGUUCGUACUGUGAAGCAUCCUGUUAAGUCAGGCAACGAGCGAGACCCACGUCCACAGUUGCCAGCAUACCCUCCGGGGUGAUGGGUACACUGUGGAGACCGCCGCUGCUAAAGCGGAGGAAGGAAUGGGCAACGGUAGGUCAGUAUGCCCCGAAUCUCCCGGGCUACACGCGGGCUACAAUGGUUGGUACAAUGGGCAUCUACCCCGAAAGGGGAAGGAAAUCUCUUAAAGCCAAUCGUAGUUCGGAUUGAGGGCUGCAACUCGCCCUCAUGAAGCUGGAAUCCGUAGUAAUCGCGUUUCAACAGAACGCGGUGAAUACGUCCCUGCUCCUU
rnacentral:rRNA from 1 species